rnacentral:rRNA from 1 species
UACGGAGGCAGCAGUGAGGAAUAUUGCGCAAUGGGCGAAAGCCUGACGCAGCGACGCCGCGUGAGGGAUGAAGGUCUUCGGAUUGUAAACCUCUUUCGAUUGGGAAGAAACGUUUCGGGAUUAACAGUCCCGGGACCUGACGGUACCAGGAGAAGAAGCCACGGCUAACUCUGUGCCAGCAGCCGCGGUA